rnacentral:rRNA from 1 species
UGGGGAAUAUUGCACAAUGGGCGCAAGCCUGAUGCAGCCAUGCCGCGUGUGUGAAGAAGGCCUUCGGGUUGUAAAGCACUUUCAGCGAGGAGGAAGGUGGUGAGCUUAAUACGCUCAUCAAUUGACGUUACUCGCAGAAGAAGCACCGGCUAACUCCGUGCCAGCAGCCGCGGUAAUACGGAGGGUGCAAGCGUUAAUCGGAAUUACUGGGCGUAAAGCGCACGCAGGCGGUUUGUUAAGUCAGAUGUGAAAUCCCCGGGCUCAACCUGGGAACUGCAUUUGAAGCUGGCAAGCUAGAGUCUCGUAGAGGGGGGUAGAAUUCCAGGUGUAGCGGUGAAAUGCGUAGAGAUCUGGAGGAAUACCGGUGGCGAAGGCGGCCCCCUGGACGAAGACUGACGCUCAGGUGCGAAAGCGUGGGGCAGCAAACAGGAUUAGAUACCCUGGUAGUCCACGCUGUAAACGGAUGUCGAUUUUGGAGGUUGUGCCCUUGAGGCGUGGCUUCCGGAGCUAACGCGUUAAAUCGACCGCCUGGGGAGUACGGCCGCAAGGUUAAAACUUAAAUGAAUUGACGGGGUCU